UACGGAGGGUGCAAGCGUUGUUCGGAAUCAUUGGGCGUAAAGCGCGUGUAGGCGGCUUGGUAAGUCGGUUGUGAAAGCCCGGGGCCCAACCCCGGAAUUGCAGCCGAAACUGCCUCGCUAGAGUCCCGGAGAGGAAGGCAGAAUUCCCGGUGUAGGGGUGAAAUCCGUAGAUAUCGGGAGGAAUACCGGCGGCGAAGGCGGCCUUCUGGACGGUGACUGACGCUGAGACGCGAAAGCGUGGGGAGCAAACAGG
rnacentral:rRNA from 1 species